AGCUUUGCACAGUGACAGUAUCGUAGCCAAUGAGGUUUAUCCGAGGCGCAAUUAUUGCUCAUUGAAAAUGUGACUCUUCGACAGAUCAUCGACGGAUGCGACCCUGUGGGAACUGAGAGGAAGGCGCAGUUGCUCUUGUGUGAAGGUGCUGGAACUCUGGAUGGAGG
ensembl:snRNA U4 U4 spliceosomal RNA